rnacentral:rRNA from 1 species
GCAAGUCGAGGGGUAACGGCAGUAGCUUGCUACUAGACGACGACCGGCGCACGGGUGAGUAACGCGUAUGUAAUCUGCCUUGUACAGAGGGAUAGCCCAGAGAAAUUUGGAUUAAUACCUCAUAGUAUUACUGAAUCGCAUGAUUUGGUAAUUAAAGCUCCGGCGGUACAAGAUGAACAUGCGUGACAUUAGCUAGUUGGUAAGGUAACGGCUUACCAAGGCCACGAUGUCUAGGGGUUCUGAGAGGAUGAUCCCCCACACUGGUACUGAGACACGGACCAGACUCCUACGGGAGGCAGCAGUGAGGAAUAUUGGUCAAUGGACGCAAGUCUGAACCAGCCAUCCCGCGUGAAGGAUGACUGCCCUAUGGGUUGUAAACUUCUUUUAUAUGCAAAUAAACCUGCUUUCGUGAAAGUAGCUGAAGGUAGCAUAUGAAUAAACACCGGCUAACUCCGUGCCAGCAGCCGCGGUAAUACGGAGGGUGUAAGCGUUAUCCGGAUUUAUUGGGUUUAAAGGGUACGUACGCGGUAAUAUAAGUCAGUGGUGAAAUCCUGCAGCUCAACUGUAGAACUGGCAUUGAAACUGUAUCACUU